rnacentral:rRNA from 1 species
ACGCUGACAGAAUGCUUAACACAUGCAAGUCUACUUGAACUUCGGUUUGGGUGGCGGACGGGUGAGUAACGCGUAAAGAACUUGCCUCACAGUUAGGGACAACAUUUGGAAACGAAUGCUAAUACCUGAUAUUAUGAUUUUAGGGCAUCCUAAGAUUAUGAAAGCUAUAUGUGCUGUGAGAGAGCUUUGCGUCCCAUUAGCUAGUUGGAGAGGUAACGGCUCACCAAGGUGAUGAUGGGUAGCCGGCCUGAGAGGGUGAACGGCCACAAGGGGACUGAGACACGGCCCUUACUCCUACGGGAGGCAGCAGUGGGGAAUAUUGGACAAUGGACCAAAAGUCUGAUCCAGCAAUUCUGUGUGCACGAUGACGUUUUUCGGAAUGUAAAGUGCUUUCAGUUGGGAAGAAAAAAAUGACGGUACCAACAGAAGAAGUGACGGCUAAAUACGUGCCAGCAGCCGCGGUAAUACGUAUGUCACAAGCGUUAUCCGGAUUUAUUGGGCGUAAAGCGCGUCUAGGUGGUUAUGUAAGUCUGAUGUGAAAAUGCAGGGCUCAACUCUGUAUUGCGUUGGAAACUGCAUGACUAGAGUACUGGAGAGGUAAGCGGAACUACAAGUGUAGAGGUGAAAUUCGUAGAUAUUUGUAGGAAUGCCGAUGGGGAAGCCAGCUUACUGGACAGAUACUGACGCUAAAGCGCGAAAGCGUGGGUAGCAAACAGGAUUAGAUACCCUGGUAGUCCACGCCGUAAACGAUGAUUACUAGGUGUUGGGGGUCGAACCUCAGCGCCCAAGCUAACGCGAUAAGUAAUCCGCCUGGGGAGUACGUACGCAAGUAUGAAACUCAAAGGAAUUGACGGGGACCCGCACAAGCGGUGGAAGCAUGGUGGUUUAAUUCGACGCAACGCGAGGAACCUUACCAGCGUUUGACAUCUU